UACGUAGGGGGCAAGCGUUGUCCGGAAUUAUUGGGCGUAAAGCGCGCGCAGGCGGCUUUUGUAAGUCUGUCGUUUAAGUUCGGGGCUCAACCCCGUAUCGCGAUGGAAACUGCAAGGCUUGAGUGCAGAAGAGGAAAGUGGAAUUCCACGUGUAGCGGUGAAAUGCGUAGAGAUGUGGAGGAACACCAGUGGCGAAGGCGGCCAACUGGCCCGAUACUGACGCUCAUGCUGCGAAAGCGUGGGGAGCAAACAGG
rnacentral:rRNA from 1 species